rnacentral:snRNA from 1 species
GUGUUCGCUUUGGCAGCACACAUUCCAAAACUGGAACGAUGCAGAGAAGAUUAGCUCGGCCCCUGUGCAGGGAUGGUACCCAUAUACGCG